rnacentral:lncRNA from 1 species
GGAGGACUUUCCCUCCUGCUGGCCCCUGAAUCCCUGCUGAAUGGCCGGCACCGGGGACAGAGCUUCCCAGUGCUCCCAUUACUGACGUCUCCUGCCUCUGGGGCUGCUGAUAAGUGGCCCCCCUUGUCCCCCAAGAUGGGGUAGGUGCGCAUCAGAGGGAGGGCGCCUCUUGCCCGGGAGCCCCGGGGUUGCCCUUCAGAGAACACAAGCAGCACAUUCGGCAGUCUCGGAAUGAGUCUGCUGGUGAGUCAGGCCGCGGGGCUCCUCUGCGCCUCAGAUGGUGCUUCAGACCCUCUUUCCCUGCUCCAACUCUGGCAUCUUGGCCGCGUAGCAGGGAGCUGGCAAGAGACUGUGAGAGGAGCAGAGGCCAGUGUGGCAGCUGCCCCUGCGCCCUCUGUGGCUCCGUGGCUGGGAGGGAGCGCAAGGAGGUCUGUUUCCAGGUCACAGCUGCCAGGCCCUCCACCUGCGGCUGUGGCUCCAGUUCAGCUCUGAGACGAGAAAGGCUGCCGACAGGUGUUUCCCUGGGAGGGGACACUGAGCGGCACUGUAGGGAAAGGGAGAGAGGACUGGAGACGGGAAGGGACAGGGAGCCCUGCUAGAGGCCUGUCCACCGUGGGGAAGAACCUGCAUUUCCACGGCUCCUUUCCCCUUCCUUGGUGGGCAGCGCUGACGGUGAGCCCUGGACACAGGGCUGUGAGGGAGACUAUUGAUUGGCAGCGACACUGAUUUUGCUUUACCCCAACAAAGUGGCAUUUGCUGUGGCAGGGGACGGCAGCUAUGUUCAGUCAGCACUGCUGGACGGUGGCUGUGAGCCUGGUUCUGGAGCCCCAUUUACUAGGGCCAGGAAUUCUUCUGUGUCCUCAGGGCACGUGGGAGCAUCUGGGUCUGGGCCAUAAUAUCUCCCUGCAAGGCGUCUCAUGGAGAGCAAAUGUCCCAGUGCUGGGGAGUGUGGGCCGAGGACCCAGGCAGGUCCUCACACAGGGCCGUCACGAGGGCCGGCUCCUCCUUAUCAACUCUGUACCGCUGACUUCUCGGGUAGCUGCACUUUGCUUUUCCGGCUGAAAGAUUCUCCAGGCAGGGACCCUGGUGUCUGUUUCUCUGUGCCUGGAGCCUUCGCCUUUGGACCCCUCGAAGGGUGGCGCAGAGGGUAAGCAUGGUCAGCGCGCUCUUCGCCAAGGGUCAGGGUCAAUGACACUUGUUACACACACUCACAAAUGUGAUAAGGCGUCCACCCAGCCCUGGUGGGGAGCGAUGGGAGCACAGCCAGAGCCUGCGUCCACGGCACCUCCAGCACGUCUCCCUCCGGGUGUCCACCUCUGCGUUUGAGAGGUGAUCCCACCAGCAAGCAUCUGCC